rnacentral:rRNA from 1 species
UACGAAGGGGGCUAGCGUUGCUCGGAAUCACUGGGCGUAAAGCGCACGUAGGCGGCUUCUUAAGUCAGGGGUGAAAUCCUGGAGCUCAACUCCAGAACUGCCUUUGAUACUGGGAGGCUCGAGUCCGGAAGAGGUGAGUGGAACUGCGAGUGUAGAGGUGAAAUUCGUAGAUAUUCGCAAGAACACCAGUGGCGAAGGCGGCUCACUGGUCCGGUACUGACGCUGAGGUGCGAAAGCGUGGGGAGCAAACAGGG